GUAAUCCACUGAAUACUUGUGGAAGUGAAAAAGUACCCUCUAGAACCAUGCUUGUCAAAUGUUAGUGUGCAUGGGAAUUGUCUCGGAAUUGCAUUAUGGAAAUGCAGCUUCUGAUUUAGUAGGUCUUGGUUAGGCCUAUGUCUUUGCAUUACUGCUAGUCUACAGACCAUACUUUCAGUCACCAGAGAAUCUAGGAAUGAGCAGACAACCUAGGCUCCAGGCCCACCUCUCCUGCUGAAUUCAAAUGGUAUUUUUCACAAUUCACUUAUUUCCUUCACCCUGUCAGCCAGCCAAAUAAGCACUGGGAGUGUAUAAGAACUGCAAGAAAUGUUUUGAGGAACGCAAAGGUGACUGUGGCAUGCUCAUUCCUGCUUUUAAAGGAUUUACCACCUAAUGGUACAGAAACACACACACACACACACACACACACACACACACACACACACAAAGGAAUGCCAUCCAAGACUGCAAGGAGGAGCCAAAAGUGUCCAGGAGAGGGAGGAUCAUACUGGCAACCUAAAGAAAUCAGGGUACAGAGAAAACUGGGAAAAAGGACUGGCGCAUCUGCUGAAAACAACUAAAGUAUGAUGAAUGAAGUAUGGAAAAGCAUCCAUGAUCUAGCAAAAGCGUGAACAUUCCUGGCUUAAAACUGACAGAAGGGAGACCCUAGAGAGGAAUGAAAUUCCACUGCACUUCCUGCUUAUCGCUUCAUCUCACCUCAGCCUUCUCUGACUCUCCAGAUAAGGCUGCAGACAGCCCAAGGAGGGGGUGGGGAGUAGGGAGUACCAGUGGGAGCCCACACUGGUGGCUGCAGGUGGCAGUUGCUGAGAAAGAAAAGCACAGCACAGUGAAUUCCCAGAGUCUGAACCCCUUCCAAAGCCAACACCCAUUCCUUCCAGAACUCAGAGGCAUCUCUUCUUUUAGUGGGUCUUGAAAGACUGAGUGACUCUUGCUAAUCCUGACAGCAUCAUCAAAGGUGUGGAGGAAGCUCCAGAGCAUGCUCAAAGUCAGCAGAACCACUCUCAAAUGGUAUCAGGAAGCAGAAGAGGGCAGGAAGCAGAAACCCACAGAUAAUCCCCAAAUCUCAUGACAGCCGCUCCUUGUGACAAGCUGCUCCACCACAUCUCUCAUCCAAGCGACUAACAAGCAAAUGGGCAGAUUGGGAUUUUACCUGCCUUCUGUCUUCCUCUGCACCACUACCACCAAAUGAUAAAAAUUAGCAUUUCUUGAGGUACUUUUUUAAAAUGACGAUUAAAAAUUGUAUAUGUUUUUCAUGUACAACAAGUUAUUUUAAAGUAUGUGUACGUUGUAGAAUGGCUAAAGCAAGCUAUCUUGAGGUCUUACUAUGUGCCAGACAUUAGCGCACUUCAUAGCUACUUUUUCGUUAAUCCUCACCACAAAGCUAUGAACUAGGUAUCAUUAUUCCCAUUUUACAGUUAAAUAGUUCUCUUAAUGUUAAAUUUAAAAAUUGCAAUAUGAUGGAGGCAAGACUGAUUUCUGGUACAUUCUAGCAUCAUAUACCCUGCCCAUUCAAACCAUGUCAUUAUCUGUCUGAAGCUCUUAGUAAAGAAUAAAAAUACCCAAAAUGAGGGCACUCAGAAGAGAGACAGAAUGAGGUAGAAUAAGAGGGGGAAAAAAAGGCAUGUUUCAGCCACAGUUAAUACUGAAGCAAUCAUGUUUUAACUCAUUAUCAAGAAAUCUAGCUCCUUUUUUAUUUCAGUCUUCACAAAGGAAAGCCCCAGUAAGUGGAUAAUCAUUAAUAUUUCAUUGAAUACCAAUCCAUAUUUUCCACAAUCGUGACAUGGACAUUCCACUUCAUCAGGAAGCCAUUUUACAAAAUUAGAAAAAGCAAGGCACCGUUCUGGAAAGCACAAGGCGAGACUACUUAUCAUUAUUAUUUAUUACUUACUGGGUGCCAACUGGGUCCCUACUGUAGAGAAAAAGUUAUAAAAGCCUCAUGCAGAGGCAAGUGGUCCCCGUUCACUAGGUUCACAAUUCAAUUCUGAUUUCAUGACUACGACGGGCCCUGUGUCUUUAAUUACUGGUAACUGUGACUGCCCUGGAACCACAAAAGGAAGAUCAAAACUUUCUAUCACUUUCUAGACAUAAAGAUAAAUGAGAAGGGAAGCAAUAAGUAUAAUUAAUUUUAACCAGAGCUGGGAGAGGAAAACUUUCAGCUGUGGUACCAUACAUAGCAUUUUAUCAGAAGAGCCACUCUCCUAGCAGAGUCCCUACCACUGAUUCCCAGAUAUGAAAUAGACUGCCAUUUCAAAAAGAACCAGGAGUGGAAAACCAAUGUCACAUGGUUUUCAUGGCAUUAGUUCAGCUCCAAGUGUCAGAAAUAAGCAUGUGAUUUAACUGUACAUGUGGCCCAGGAAAAGCAGGAGGAGUAAAGCUAGCAAGUUCAAAGCAAAGUUCAAAUUGAAGCCAUUCAGAGUGAGGCCACAUCAUAAGCCUUUGGACAGAUGAGCAUCUUGUGGGAUUCAAGCAGAAGAUGUGGUGUAAGUAAUGAGACUGAAGUGAUGAAGGAAGGGGAAAUACACUCUCAGAGGUAAACUUGCCGUCAAGUCGUUGGGACUUAGCUGAAUAAUUCCCCCUAAUGCUUAGACAAAUAAUGCUGCUAAAUUCUUGGGAAUCAGACCACCAUGUCUCCACCCCUCAGCUUCCAGGAGCUUCUAAAAACCGGACUGAGCUAGCUGUAGGAAAAAAUUAAAUCCAAAAUACAUUCUUCAUGAUCAUUUCAGAGAAGGGAGAUACUCCCUAACUGUCAAUACUGUGAGAAAAGGGGCUAUACUUGACUCAGUUUUCCAAAUCUGGACGGCAAUCUCAGAUGUUUUGAAGGAAGGCCAGAGAUCUUCCUUGUGAAAAGGUUUUACUGGCUUUGCUUCUGCCACCAACUAACAGCAAAUAUUCUGAAAUCCAGUCCCUAUCCUGGUUCCUCAGCCACCCUCCUCCAAUAUCAUCAGCAGUUGGAGCCUUUGCCAUUGCCAAGAAUUUCAGCUGUCUUUUAUGUAAUGUUUUCUACUUCUACCAACUCUUAUGCAAGAUUCUGCAAAUCCUCAGCUUUAGCUAAAGAGUGCUGUCCAGCAGGACUUUUUGUGAUGAUGGAAAUGCUCUACAUCAGCACUGUCCUAUAUGGUAGCCACCUGCCACAUGGGGCGAGUGCUAUGGGAUAAAUAAUGUGUUAAGUUUAUUCAAUUUUUAAUGAAUUUAAAUUUAAAUUGCCACAUGUGACUAUUGACUGCUAUACUGUGCAGUACAGUUCUAAAGACACAAUGUGGAUUUUACCAAAGAUGUAAUAGCAUAAAUGGAAGAAGUUUAUAUUGCACAUACCACAGAAUUCUCUUCCCCAAGCUCCCUUGCUGCUAGUUGUGUCCAUACAACACAAUUCUGUCCAAUACAAAGAGAGCCGAGAGUUACUGGGAGAGUUUAUUUCUUAUAUGGAACCCAAUUUCUUAUUCACCCCUUUUGCUUUUCUUCUUUGUGUGUGUGUACAUGAUAAUCUGCACAUGUAGCAACCACAUUGAAUGCUAAUGCCAUACAUCAAGAUUGGCAGGGCAGAAAGUUGGUAAAAGGGCUAGCACACCUGGAACCAUUGCACUAAUCCUGGACUGCUAACCUGUGAAUUUAUGUGCCAUGGGACGAAUAAAGCUAUUACUCAUUUAAACUACUCUUUGCCUGUUUCUCUGUACUUGUAGAAAAAU
rnacentral:lncRNA from 10 species